rnacentral:rRNA from 1 species
GACGAACGCUGGCGGCGUGCCUAAUACAUGCAAGUCGAGGGCGGAGGUUCCUUCGGGAGCCCGAGCACUGGCGCACGGGUGAGUAACACGUAAGUCAUCUGCCCUUGGGACGGUCAUAACGUCGGGAAACCGGCGCUAAUAGCCGAUGACAUCUUCGGAUCAAAGUCAUUGUGAAAGCAAUGAUGCCCAGGGAUGAGCUUGCGUCCGAUUAGCUAGUUGGCGGGGAACAGCCCACCAAGGCGACGAUCGGUAGCCGGUCUGAGAGGAUGAUCGGCCACAUUGGGACUGAGACACGGCCCAGACUCCUACGGGAGGCAGCAGUAAGGAAUAUUGCGCAAUGGAGGCAACUCUGACGCAGCAACGCCGCGUGCAGGAAGAAGGCCCUUUGGGU